UACGUAGGUGGCAAGCGUUGUCCGGAAUUACUGGGUGUAAAGGGCGUGUAGGCGGGGAUGCAAGUCAGAUGUGAAAUUCCGGGGCUCAACUCCGGAGCUGCAUCUGAAACUGUAUCUCUUGAGUGUUGGAGAGGAAAGUGGAAUUCCUAGUGUAGCGGUGAAAUGCGUAGAGAUUAGGAGGAACACCAGUGGCGAAGGCGGCUUUCUGGACAAUAACUGACGCUGAGGCGCGAAAGCCAGGGGAGCAAACGGGAUUAGAUACCCCGGUAGU
rnacentral:rRNA from 1 species